UCUUAUGGAUGAGCAAAGAAAGUGGUUUCUUGAAAUGGAACCUACUCCCAGUGAUGACGCUGUAAA
rnacentral:pre_miRNA from 1 species